rnacentral:rRNA from 1 species
GAUGAACGCUGGCGGCGUGCUUAACACAUGCAAGUCGAACGAUGAAGCCCAGCUUGCUGGGUGGAUUAGUGGCGAACGGGUGAGUAACACGUGAGUAACCUGCCCUUAACUCUGGGAUAAGCCUGGGAAACUGGGUCUAAUACCGGAUAGGAGCGUCCACCGCAUGGUGGGUGUUGGAAAGAUUUAUCGGUUUUGGAUGGACUCGCGGCCUGUCAGCUUGUUGGUGAGGUAAUGGCUCACCAAGGCGACGACGGGUAGCCGGCCUGAGAGGGUGACCGGCCACACUGGGACUGAGACACGGCCCAGACUCCUACGGGAGGCAGCAGUGGGGAAUAUUGCACAAUGGGCGCAAGCCUGAUGCAGCGACGCCGCGUGAGGGAUGACGGCCUUCGGGUUGUAAACCUCUUUCAGUAGGGAAGAAGCGAAAGUGACGGUACCUGCAGAAGAAGCACCGGCUAACUACGUG